rnacentral:rRNA from 1 species
CCUACGGGAGGCAGCAGUGGGGAAUAUUGCACAAUGGUGGAAACCCUGAUGCAGCGACGCCGCGUGAAGGAAGAAGUAUUUCGGUAUGUAAACUUCUAUCAGCAGGGAAGAAAAUGACGGUACCUGACUCAGAAGCCCCGUCUAACUACGUGACACCAGCCGCGGUAAUACGUAGGGGGCAAGCGUUAUCCGGAUUUACUGGGUGUAAAGGGAGCGUAGGCGGGUUAGCAAGUCAGAAGUGAAAGCCCGGGGCGCAACUCCGGGACUGCUUUUGAAACUGUUGAACUAGAUUGCAGGAGAGGUAAGUGGAAUGCGCAGUGUAGCGGUGAAAUGCGUAGAUAUUAGGAGGAACACCAGUGGCGAAGGCAGCUUGCUGGACUGUAAAUGACGCUGAGGCUCGAAAGCGUGGGGAGCAAACAGGAUUAGAUACCCGGGUAGUC